rnacentral:tRNA from 1 species
GGGCAUAUAGCUCAGUUGGUAGAGCACGGCAUUGAAAAUGCCGGUGUCCGUGGUUCGAGUCCGCGUAUGCCCA